GUUUCUAUAGCUCAGUGGUAGAGCAUCAGUCAUGAAAACUGAAGAGGCGUGGGUUCGAUUCCUCGCUAGAUUCC
rfam:Folsomia candida strain VT population Fcan01_Sc030, whole genome shotgun sequence.